GAUGAACGCUGGCGGCGUGCCUAAUACAUGCAAGUCGAGCGAACAGACAAGGAGCUUGCUCCUUUGACGUUAGCGGCGGACGGGUGAGUAACACGUGGGUAACCUACCUAUAAGACUGGGAUAACUUCGGGAAACCGGAGCUAAUACCGGAUAAUAUUUCGAACCGCAUGGUUCGAUAGUGAAAGAUGGUUUUGCUAUCACUUAUAGAUGGACCCGCGCCGUAUUAGCUAGUUGGUAAGGUAACGGCUUACCAAGGCGACGAUACGUAGCCGACCUGAGAGGGUGAUCGGCCACACUGGAACUGAGACACGGUCCAGACUCCUACGGGAGGCAGCAGUAGGGAAUCUUCCGCAAUGGGCGAAAGCCUGACGGAGCAACGCCGCGUGAGUGAUGAAGGUCUUCGGAUCGUAAAACUCUGUUAUUAGGGAAGAACAUACGUGUAAGUAACUGUGCACGUCUUGACGGUACCUAAUCAGAAAGCCACGGCUAACUACGUGCCAGCAGCCGCGGUAAUACGUAGGUGGCAAGCGUUAUCCGGAAUUAUUGGGCGUAAAGCGCGCGUAGGCGGUUUUUUAAGUCUGAUGUGAAAGCCCACGGCUCAACCGUGGAGGGUCAUUGGAAACUGGAAAACUUGAGUGCAGAAGAGGAAAGUGGAAUUCCAUGUGUAGCGGUGAAAUGCGCAGAGAUAUGGAGGAACACCAGUGGCGAAGGCGACUUUCUGGUCUGUAACUGACGCUGAUGUGCGAAAGCGUGGGGAUCAAACAGGAUUAGAUACCCUGGUAGUCCACGCCGUAAACGAUGAGUGCUAAGUGUUAGGGGGUUUCCGCCCCUUAGUGCUGCAGCUAACGCAUUAAGCACUCCGCCUGGGGAGUACGACCGCAAGGUUGAAACUCAAAGGAAUUGACGGGGACCCGCACAAGCGGUGGAGCAUGUGGUUUAAUUCGAAGCAACGCGAAGAACCUUACCAAAUCUUGACAUCCUUUGACAACUCUAGAGAUAGAGCCUUCCCCUUCGGGGGACAAAGUGACAGGUGGUGCAUGGUUGUCGUCAGCUCGUGUCGUGAGAUGUUGGGUUAAGUCCCGCAACGAGCGCAACCCUUAAGCUUAGUUGCUAUCAUUAAGUUGGGCACUCUAAGUUGACUGCCGGUGACAAACCGGAGGAAGGUGGGGAUGACGUCAAAUCAUCAUGCCCCUUAUGAUUUGGGCUACACACGUGCUACAAUGGACAAUACAAAGGGUAGCGAAACCGCGAGGUCAAGCAAAUCCCAUAAAGUUGUUCUCAGUUCGGAUUGUAGUCUGCAACUCGACUACAUGAAGCUGGAAUCGCUAGUAAUCGUAGAUCAGCAUGCUACGGUGAAUACGUUCCCGGGUCU
rnacentral:rRNA from 1 species